UUUUUAUUGAGAGUUCGAUCCUGGCUCAGGAUGAACGCUGGCGGCGUGCCUAACACAUGCAAGUCGAACGGAGAUAAUGAGAGAUUCUUUUAGAUGAUUUCCUUAUCUUAGCGGCGG
rnacentral:rRNA from 1 species